AUGAACGCUAGCGGCAGGCUUAACACAUGCAAGUCGAGGGGCAGCAUAAUGGAUAGCAAUAUCUAUGGUGGCGACCGGCGCACGGGUGCGUAACGCGUAUGCAACCUACCUUUAACAGGGGGAUAACACUGAGAAAUUGGUACUAAUACCCCAUAAUAUCAUAGAAGGCAUCUUUUAUGGUUGAAAAUUCCGAUGGUUAGAGAUGGGCAUGCGUUGUAUUAGCUAGUUGGUGGGGUAACGGCUCACCAAGGCGACGAUACAUAGGGGGACUGAGAGGUUAACCCCCCACACUGGUACUGAGACACGGACCAGACUCCUACGGGAGGCAGCAGUGAGGAAUAUUGGUCAAUGGACGCAAGUCUGAACCAGCCAUGCCGCGUGCAGGAUGACGGCUCUAUGAGUUGUAAACUGCUUUUGUACGAGGGUAAACGCAGAUACGUGUAUCUGUCUGAAAGUAUCGUACGAAUAAGGAUCGGCUAACUCCGUGCCAGCAGCCGCGGUAAUACGGAGGAUUCAAGCGUUAUCCGGAUUUAUUGGGUUUAAAGGGUGCGUAGGCGGUUUGAUAAGUUAGAGGUGAAAUUUCGGGGCUCAACCCUGAACGUGCCUCUAAUACUGUUGAGCUAGAGAGUAGUUGCGGUAGGCGGAAUGUAUGGUGUAGCGGUGAAAUGCUUAGAGAUCAUACAGAACACCGAUUGCGAAGGCAGCUUACCAAACUAUAUCUGACGUUGAGGCACGAAAGCGUGGGGAGCAAACAGGAUUAGAUACCCUGGUAGUCCACGCAGUAAACGAUGAUAACUCGUUGUCGGCGAUACACAGUCGGUGACUAAGCGAAAGCGAUAAGUUAUCCACCUGGGGAGUACGUUCGCAAGAAUGAAACUCAAAGGAAUUGACGGGGGCCCGCACAAGCGGUGGAGUAUGUGGUUUAAUUCGAAGCAACGCGAAGAACCUUACCAGGCCUUGACAUCCCUUGCAGAGGUAUAGAGAUAUAUCCGAGGUUAUCAAGGAGACAGGUGGUGCAUGGUUGUCGUCAGCUCGUGCCGUGAGGUGUCGGGUUAAGUCCCAUAACGAGCGCAACCCCUACCGUUAGUUGCCAUCAGGUGAAGCUGGGCACUCUGGCGGGACUGCCGGUGUAAGCCGAGAGGAAGGUGGGGAUGACGUCAAAUCAGCACGGCCCUUACGUCCGGGGCUACACACGUGUUACAAUGGUAGGUACAGAGGGCAGCUACCCAGCGAUGGGAUGCGAAUCUCGAAAGCCUAUCUCAGUUCGGAUUGGAGGCUGAAACCCGCCUCCAUGAAGUUGGAUUCGCUAGUAAUCGCGCAUCAGCCAUGGCGCGGUGAAUACGUUCCCGGGCCUUGUACACACCGCCCGUCAAGCCAUGGGAGCCGGGGGUGCCUGAAGUUCGUGACCGCAAGGAGCGACCUAGGGCAAAACUGGUGACUGGGGCU
rnacentral:rRNA from 1 species